rnacentral:sRNA from 1 species
AACCGGACGAGAUCGUCGAACCGCCGGCGCGGAAGUCCUUGGAGCCGUAAUCCGUGUAGCGGUAUUCGGCACGCGCAGUGAUGU